CCUGGUGCCUGCAGAGGCCAGAAGAUGGUGCCAGAUUCCUUGGACCUGGGAUUGCAGCAGUCUGACAGCCCCUGGGAGCUUGAGAAGUGACAAGUUCCAGACCCCGGAGCUGCAGACACAGAAUCUGGCUUUAUAUCCGUGACUGAUCCUAUAUCCACUGGAGUAGAGAAGCACCGGGCAGGAGACUGGAUUCCCUCCCCCGCUCCGCCCUCCCAUUAGCUGUGUGACUUCUAAUAAGUUACUCACUACAUUAUGUGUUUUAGUUCCCUUCAUCCCUGUUUGCCGGUGACUAAAUGUUAAUUCUGGGCAAAUUAAUUUGAUAUCAUCAUUUGGUUGUAUACAAGAGAGAAACGAUCCUGUCUACCUCUUGUUGUAAGAAUUAAAUGAGAUAAAUGUGAAGUACAUGGAUACUGAAGACAUGGCUACUCACUGUGUUCAGUGAUUAUUUUGUUAUGAUUUCUCUGUCUACAAUGAUGUCCCAUAGAUUGCAUGACAAAUGGGUUAAGAAAUUGGUCUCAAAACUUCAUGUACAGAUACAUACAUUUGGCUUUUAAAUCUUAAGAGAAGACAAGAUGUCUAAGAUGACUUAAGGAGCCCAAGACAACGGGCACUGGAGCCGGAUUAAACCAGCUGCAUUCCUUCUCAGUUCUUUUGACCCUGGGUUGGUCAUUUAACUUCUUCAGAUUUUGUGGCUGCUAUAGGCAUAUAAGAUGUUUGAGGUGAGCACAUUAUCUGAGCCUGUGAGGAUAGUGAUGCAGGAGCUGAUCUCUUGAGGUUUCACAGCAGUCGAUUAGGAGUUCCAGAAAAUAGUUCAGAUUAUUAACUUUCUGCUUUAGCCACAGACACAUGCCCACAUUGCCUGCUCCUAAUUCCAAGUUCAUUUUUCUACACGAAGCAAUUGCUCGUUGAAAAUCUGUUCCAUGUGUGACAAAGUUAACACGUGUUUUAAAGCUCCAGAUAAGGGCCAGCUGUGGUGGUGCACAUCUGUAAUCACAGCAUUCAGGAAGCUGAGGCAGGAGCAUUUUGAGUUCAAGGCCACCCUGAUCAACUUGCGUAGUUCAAUACCAGCCUACUCUAUGCAGUGAGACCCUAUCUCAAGAAGCAAUAGAACAAAAAUUUGUUUAAGAAGACUGCUGUUGCCUUCUCUAGAAAACUGCCUUUCUGAAGGAUACAGAGGCACUCUGUCUGAAUUACUACAGAUAUGCAACACCUCUUCACAGGGUGACAGCAAGGGACUUCACUCUACCUCUCUUCCUUUAAAAAUUCACUCAAGGGGCUGGAGAUAAAAUGCCAUGGGUAAUGAAUGCCCUUCCAGCAUGCAUGAAGCCCUGGCUUCCUUCUCCAGCACCACAUAGAAUGGAUGUGAUGGUAUGAGCCUCUAAUUCCAGCACCACAGAGGUAGAAGGAGGAGAAUUAGAACCUCAGAGCCAUCCUUUAGCUACAUAGUAGAUUUGAGGCUAACCUGGUAGACAUUAAGACCUGGUCUCAAAAAUCAAAACAAAAGUAAAAUAAAAAUCCACUGAGUUGGAUUCUUCUCUUGUUGGUAGUAGGGGUUAUAGCAGAGUAUCAACUCUGUGAUAACCAAGAACCUGAUAAUCCUUCUUUGAAAACCUGCUUCCGAUUCCCAGUUCCCUUGGACUUAACUUGUGUUAGGAUGCUUUUAAGAAUAAUAAACCUUCUUGGAUCUUUCUCUA